AGCAGCCGCGGUAAUUCCAGCUCCAAUAGCGUAUAUUAAAGUUGUUGCAGUUAAAAAGCUCGUAGUUGAAUUUCGGGAUCAAUACGUCGGUCGUACCUCGGUACGUACUAACGUCAUUGAUUUCUCCCUUCUGACGAACCAUGAUGCCAUUAAUUUGGUGUUAUGGGAAAUCAGGACUGUUACUUUGAAAAAAUUAGAGUGUUUAAAGCAGGACUCACGCUUGAAUACAUUAGCAUGGAAUAAUGAAAUAGGACGUUUGAUUCUAUUUUGUUGGUUUCUAGGAUCGACGUAAUGAUUAAUAGGGAUAGUUGGGGCAUUAGUAUUCAAUUGUCAGAGGUGAAAUUCUUGGAUUUAUUGAAGACUAACUACUGCGAAAGCAUUUGCCAAGGAUGUUUUCUAUUAAUCAAGAACGAAAGUUAAGGGGAUCGAAGACGAUCAGAUACCGUCGUAGUCUUAACCAUAAACUAAUGCCGACUAGGGAGUCGGAUGAUGUUAAUUUUUUAAUUGUACUCAUUCGGCG
rnacentral:rRNA from 1 species